GAUGCUAAUACCGAAUAAAACUUAGUGUCGCAUGACACAAAGUUAAAAGGCGCUUCGGCGUCACCUAGCGAUGGAUCCGCGGUGCAUUAGUUAGUUGGUGGGGUAAAGGCCUACCAAGACAAUGAUGCAUAGCCGAGUUGAGAGACUGAUCGGCCACAUUGGGACUGAGACACGGCCCAAACUCCUACGGGAGGCUGCAGUAGGGAAUCUUCCACAAUGGGCGAAAGCCUGAUGGAGCAACGCCGCGUGUGUGAUGAAGGCUUUCGGGUCGUAAAGCACUGUUGUAUGGGAAGAACAGCUAGAAUAGGAAAUGAUUUUAGUUUGACGGUACCAUACCAGAAAGGGACGGCUAAAUACGUGCCAGCAGCCGCGGUAAUACGUAUGUCCCGAGCGUUAUCCGGAUUUAUUGGGCGUAAAGCGAGCGCAGACGGUUUAUUAAGUCUGAUGUGAAAGCCCGGAGCUCAACUCCGGAAUGGCAUUGGAAACUGGUUAACUUGAGUGCAGUAGAGGUAAGUGGAACUCCAUGUGUAGCGGUGGAAUGCGUAGAUAUAUGGAAGAACACCAGUGGCGAAGGCGGCUUACUGGACUGCAACUGACGUUGAGGCUCGAAAGUGUGGGUAGCAAACAGGAUUAGAUACCCUGGUAGUCCACAC
rnacentral:rRNA from 1 species